rnacentral:lncRNA from 10 species
UGGGAGGCUUUGCGGGAGAAGCCCCAGAGUAGAUGCUGCCAGGUCUGUGACUGAGGGAGAUGAUCACUGUAGCCAGGAAAAUAGACUGGACAUGCGAGAAGCAAUAGGAAGAACAUGGCGUAACAGCUCGGCCAUGAACGCAGAUGGGUGCGGUGGGGAGAGGAACUGCUUGAGAUGGACCCGCUCUCCAGGGAGACGCCCUUCCGGCUGCGGAGGCCUGAGCCGGGUCUGGAGGAGAACUGCGCUCUGCUUGUCCAGGCGGAGGGAGGCCGUUCUCCUCAGGCAGAUAAAGAGAGCAAGUACUUAA